rnacentral:rRNA from 1 species
CCUACGGGGGGCAGCAGUGAGGAAUAUUGGUCAAUGGACGCAAGUCUGAACCAGCCAUGCCGCGUGAAGGAAGACGGCUCUAUGAGUUGUAAACUGCUUUUGUACGAGGGUAAAUCCCGAUACGUGUAUCGGGUUGAAAGUAUCGUACGAAUAAGGAUCGGCUAACUCCGUGCCAGCAGCCGCGGUAAUACGGAGGAUUCGAGCGUGAUCCGGAUUUAUUGGGUUUAAAGGGAGCGUAGGUGGUUCGAUAAGUUAGUUGUGAAAUCCCGGGGCUCAACUCCGGCACUGCCACUGAUACUGGCGGGCUAGAGUACAGUUGCGGUAGGCGGAAUUGAUGGUGUAGCGGUGAAAUGCAUAGAGAUCACACAGAACACCGAUUGCGAAGGCAGCUUACCAAACUACGACUGACGUUGAGGCACGAAAGCGUGGGGAUCAAACAGGAUUAGAUACCCGGGUAGUA